UUGGCUGAUGUGGGGACAACUGAACAUCACCUCUUGCAACCACUGUAAGCACAGCCCCAUGUUUUUGGUCUUUUGGUCGAUAACCCAGUGGAGAGCUUGUAGCUGAUGCCAUUAGCACCAACACCACUGGGACAAAGGCUGGGGUACAGCAGCUUAAGCUGCAUCUAGGAGGUGGCAGCUCAUUUUUAGGGAUGCUGUGCUGCAGCUGCAGUGAGUGCUGCCCAUGUAUGGGACUACAGCUUGGGACAUGACACUUCACCAUAGAGGAGAGAGGGCAUGGCACUGAGCUGCCUGUGCCUGAGAGGUUCCCCUGCAUGCUGUGUUGCUGAGCAUCCUCAAUACAACAGCACAUACAGUCCUUUCUGAGCAGCUGUGAUCACUGCUCCUUGUUCUGUUCUCCAGGACAGCUGGAGCAGAAACAAGUCCAGCACUGUCAGAGUCUCUGCAGAGUUUGUUUUGAUCUUCGUGCUGACGGGGAAGGACAGCCGGAGCCUGCUGAACAAAAAAAGGCUGUGUCCCAGCUCUCAGCUUCCAGGAUCUGUAAAGCUAAGAAAGUGCAGAGAGGUGACAGCCGUGCCCACAGGACUUCCAUGUGCAGCCAUGGAGUGAGGCUGUGAUCUUCUGGCUGGAGGCAGAGCUCUGAGUCCCAAGAAGAGGGAUGUACAGCCUCUAGAUGCUGAGGAGAUUCAAAAUCAGGAGGGUCUCCUUCACUGGACCAGCCUGGUUGGCUUCCACCUGCUUCCAAACAUCAGGGAACAUCUGGAAUCCUCCUGCAAACUGCAGAGCUGUGUCUCCAUCAGCAGCACCCAAAACUGGGCAGAUAACAGCAAGAGGCUUUUUAGCAAGCAUAACAAAAGAAAAAGGGCUGGGCUUUGGUUUUGUAGUUUUAUUUCUUUUUAAAGGAUGCUAUUAGUGUUCUGGAAAGAGCCUGCGUUUGUAUUCAUUAAGUCUGCGGUCUCCAAAGCUUUUAUGGGGAGGAGAGCAUAACUGGCUGAAAUUCUUACUGUCGUAGCGAAUGAUCAAUGCACUUAUUCGUAGUGCUGUAGCGCCUGCGAUUAAUUCAUAGCCAGAAUAAUAGCAGAGAACCCGCUGUGUUGCUAUUACCUUAUCUCUGCCUCACUGGUAGGAUCUCAGGUAUGAGUGAAGCCAACCAUUAAUUACUUGGUUAAAAACCCAUCGGCUGCUGGGGAGCAAAUGGAAUGAUGCAGCUGCAAGUCUCAGCAAGUCUCUGAUCCAACAACCCUCAAAGCAAGACCUCUCAGGUUAGGCUGCACAGGACUUCAUCCAGCCAAGUUCUUAUUUCGAGACUCCCCCACCUCCCUGGAUCCCUGUGCCAUCGUCUGACCAUUCUCAGGGUGAUUUUUUCCCUAACUUUUAACUGGAAACUUGUCACAGCUUGCGUCCAUUGUUCUCUUCCUUUCAUUUGGCAUCUCCAAGAACAGCCUGGCUCUGUCUUCUCUACAAUACUGCCCAAUUAGCGAUUGCACAUAGCAUUCAUUUUUGUAGAGUCAUAAUGGUUGAAAAGGACUUCUAAGAUCAUCCAGACCAACCCCCAUCCCAUUCCCAUUAACCACGUCCCUCAGUGCCACAU